GGGGCAAUAGGUUAGCAGCACAGCAUCUGCCUUGAAAGCAGAAGGUCGCAGGUUCAAUCCCUGGCAUCUCCA